rnacentral:rRNA from 1 species
UACGGGGGGAGCAAGCGUUGUUCGGAAUUACUGGGCGUAAAGGGCGCGUAGGCGGCCACCUAAGUCAGACGUGAAAUCCCCCGGCUUAACCUGGGAACUGCGUCUGAUACUGGAGGGCUUGAGUAUGGGAGAGGGAUGUAGAAUUCCAGGUGUAGCGGUGAAAUGCGUAGAUAUCUGGAGGAAUACCGGUGGCGAAGGCGGCAUCCUGGACCAUUACUGACGCUGAGGCGCGAAAGCUAGGGGAGCAAACGGG